GACAGAGGGUGCAAACGUUGUUCGGAAUUACGGGGCGUAAAGCGCGUGUAGGCGGCUCGGCAAGUCGGGUGUGAAAGCCCUGGGCUUAACCUAGGAAGUGCACUCGAAACUGCCAAGCUUGAGUUCUGGAGAGGAAGGCGGAAUUCUCGGUGUAGAGGUGAAAUUCGUAGAUAUCGAGAGGAACACCGGUGGCGAAGGCGGCCUUCUGGACAGCAACUGACGCUGAGACGCGAAAGCGUGGGGAGCAAACAGG
rnacentral:rRNA from 1 species